UGCAGAAGAGUUAGCUGUCCCAAAAGGCAAGGGGGAUCCAAUUUCAAGUGCCUGCUGACCCACGGCUGGAGAUCACUGUAAACUGCUCCAAAUACUCCGUAACAUUUUUAUUUCUUUCUCCUUUUCUGUGGAAGGAGUUGUAGGUCUGUGUGUCAGAACUUUAUUAAUUAAUUAAGGCCAAAUUAAUUAAAGCCAAUUGUAGCCCCAGCAAUUCUGGGUAGGGUUUAGCCAGUAGAGGCAGGGAAACAAAGCAAACAAUGCAGGGGCCGGCCAGGCGUGCUCACCUUUUCGACAGCACAGAAGAAAGGACUUGGCAUCUGGGAAGUGGCUUUUAAAAACGGCCAGGGUGCACUCGCUACAAUGAUCCACCGAAACAACAGCCGUCUAAAAAUAAGAUACGCAUAAAACCACCCCAGCGCUCAGCACGCCGCCGUCCAAUUCCAACAGGAAAGCACGGUCCCCUCCUGCCAGCUGUGGGGGCAGAGGGACGGCGAACAGCGAGUGCAGGGAACGGGCAACGGGGCUGGAAGCGGCGGGGCCCCUCCAGCAUCCCUCACCCGGGCGGCUCCGGCCCGUGCCGGGGUGUCACUGCCGCGGCGGGGGCCGGGACGGGGCAUCCCGGAGGUGGGAGGCGGGAGGAGGAGCCGCUGUGGGUUGGAAAUCUCUCCUUUCCCCGCUACGAAGUGAUGAGAUACAAGUGGGUUGCUGAGAUAUUUACAGAAUAAUAAUAAAUAAAACAAUAAUAAUAAAUCUGGAGCGACUGCAACCGA